UUUAAUUCACAUUUUUUUUUCAUUGAAAGUGAAAUAUUAUUAAAUUCGGAGAAAAACAUUUACAUCAGAAGCAAGAGUAUUGAACAACCACUCCGGUUCAAAGCUAUCUCAGGUAUGAAGACUCUCCAUUCGAUGUGCUGCCCUAUUACAAACUUGGAGAGCAAAAAUGAACUCGACCAACCUCGGUUGUUAUUUUAUACGUUAAAUAUCCAAGAGAUUACCUUCAAUGACAACGUUGGCUUGUAUAAUCCCAUUUAUCAUAUCCACCAAAGUUUUUUGAAUCCAUUUGAAGCUGCGCACUACCUGAAAACCUUUCUCUACACAAGCCCCCAAAAGUAUUGACAAAUAGGAUCUAUGUAAUUAUCAAACUUUAC
rnacentral:lncRNA from 1 species